GGUAACAGGUUAAGCUGACGAGUGGCGAACGGGAGAGUAAUAUAUCGGAACGUGCCCAGUCGUGGGGGAUAACUGCUCGAAAGAGCAGCUAAUACCGCAUACGACCUGAGGGUGAAAGCGGGGGAUCGCAAGACCUCGCGCGAUUGGAGCGGCCGAUAUCAGAUUAGGUAGUUGGUGGGGUAAAGGCCCACCAAGCCAACGAUCUGUAGCUGGUCUGAGAGGACGACCAGCCACACUGGGACUGAGACACGGCCCAGACUCCUACGGGAGGCAGCAGUGGGGAAUUUUGGACAAUGGGCGCAAGCCUGAUCCAGCCAUGCCGCGUGCGGGAAGAAGGCCUUCGGGUUGUAAACCGCUUUUGUCAGGGAAGAAAAGGUUCUGGUUAAUACCUGGGACUCAUGACGGUACCUGAAGAAUAAGCACCGGCUAACUACGUGCCAGCAGCCGCGGUAAUACGUAGGGUGCAAGCGUUAAUCGGAAUUACUG
rnacentral:rRNA from 1 species